rnacentral:rRNA from 1 species
UACGUAGGGGGCGAGCGUUGUCCGGAUUUAUUGGGCGUAAAGAGCUCGUAGGCGGUUUGGUAAGUCGGGUGUGAAAUCUCCACGCUCAACGUGGAGGGGCCACUCGAUACUGCCAUGACUCGAGUCCGGUAGAGGAGUGUGGAAUUCCCGGUGUAGCGGUGAAAUGCGUAGAGAUCGGGAGGAACAUCAGAGGCGAAGGCGGCGAACUGGAUAGUAACUGACACUGAACUACGAAAGCGUGGGUAGCAAACAGG